UCCUUAAUAAUCUAAUGAUGGUAGACUGUAAAUCUUCAUUACCCUUAUCCAG
rnacentral:tRNA from 1 species